rnacentral:rRNA from 1 species
UACGGGGGGGGCAAGCGUUGUUCGGAAUUACUGGGCGUAAAGGGCUCGUAGGCGGCCAACUAAGUCAGACGUGAAAUCCCUCGGCUUAACCGGGGAACUGCGUCUGAUACUGGAUGGCUUGAAUCCGGGAGAGGGAUGCGGAAUUCCAGGUGUAGCGGUGAAAUGCGUAGAUAUCAGGAGGAAUACCGGUGGCGAAGGCGGCCUUCUGGACGAUGACUGACGCUGAGACGCGAAAGCGUGGGGAGCAAACAGG